rnacentral:misc_RNA from 1 species
CCUCAGUGAGGGAAUUGCUUUCGUUCGAACAAGACUUGUAACAAAUUUUCAUCCAUUGUAAAAUCGAUCGUAGAUUGUAAUUUUAUAAGACUGAAGAAUUUCAAGCAAGUAUAUUCUAAGUUUUUUUUUUUUUUCUAUUUGUAUUUGUUUCAUCCUUUUUUCUUUAUAUCGUACAAUUUUACGUGCACAGUGACGACGGAACAAACUGCCGAAAUAAUUGACGAAAAUGAUGUGUGAAAAGACGAUCGUAUUUUGAAUCCUAAAAAUCGAAGUUUGGUGAUCAUUCGAAUCGUGCUUAAAUAUAACAUAAAAGGGAUAAAAUAGUAAAGUGUGAUUUACAAGAUGACUACUCAGGAUGCGUCGCAGAGUGAGAGGAUUAGAAAAAUGUUCAGCUGGAGCGCUGGAUUGAUAAGG